rnacentral:lncRNA from 1 species
GAAAUAUAGUCAUAUAUAUUGUGGACUUUAUAUUUACUCCACUCUGCUUAGUCUAGGAAAACAGGAAUGUCUACACCCAUACUUAAGGAUUAAGAAUUGAGGAGGAUGUCCUAUGACAGACAUGUGCUAGUACAUGACAAAUCAGAAACAACUGACAGACAUCUGGGCUGUCCGAAGUCAAGCUUAAGCUACCACCAGUACAUGUGAGACACAGGAAAGUGAUGUAAAAAUGGUCUAUAUAUUUCUCAUUACUUCCUCUAUCUGGCCUUUUUUGGCAGAGAGGUGGCUCUGGAGGCAGCAUACUGAGCAUCUUGGCAUCUUGGCAUGGCAGCAGUUAUUGUCUAGGUUUGUCGUGUCUAGCUCAGUCCAGGCCCGGGUGAUGUUCCAGAAACUCAGCCUCCUCCAGGAGAAGGAGACCUUUCCCGUACUAAUCUCUCCAGAGGCCAGAAAUGGAAGGCCAGCUACUCACUCACCCAAGACAAAGUUCAAAGGGAAGAUCCAGGAGCAGUCCAAGAAAAUAAGGUCCCAAGUUGAAGCUGAGGCCCAAGUUUAAAGCCACUUCUAAGAGGCAAGUCACCAGCCAAAUCUCCAAGCAGAAGAUUCAAGCUGAAGGACCCUUGGACAAGAACUUCAGGAUUUCUUACUUCAGAGGGGCCAAUCACAGCUUCCAAAUUGCCUAGCAAUGUCUAGGGCAGUGCUUGUGGGAUCAAAUUUUCGUCCUCUGAGGGUGUUAACUCUUAUCAAAGGAUUCACAAAUUUCUGAGUGACUAAGGUAAAACAGUAGAACUCUCCAAAGAAGUGACUUGUGAACCCCCUUACUUAGUGUUAAAUAGGAGUGCUUAAGUUUUUUGGUUGAUUAAUUCAAAAUAGACAAAGAUAAGAAAGAAUUCCAUUUCACAAUUAUGAUGUAAUUAUAAAAUAUACAUAGGCACACCCAUAUGAACAUCAAAGCUCUGUAUGAUUGGUGGUAUUAUGGCCCCUAUUUUAUAGAUGAAGAAAUUAUAGCUUAAAUAGUUUCAAUGACUUUUUUAGAUAAUCAAAGCUAGUGAGCAUCUGCAGAAGAAUUCCGACUCCAACUUGAAUGAUUCUCUAUAAACUGACAUGUUUGUGAAAAUCACAUUGUUCAGUUUUGAAUAUAUAUAACUUUACGUGCAUGUUUCUGUGUGCAUGUGUUUAUAUAUGUACACAUAUAUAUUUCAAUUUAAAUUUUAUGCUCUGUAAAUAAUUUGGAUUGAAGUUGGACAUUUGUUUCUAAAAAAUAACAUUUGCUUUCACUUCUGAUGCUCAUUACAAAUAGUCUGAUUUUAAAUGAAGAUUAAAAAUAGAAGAAAGAAUAAAGGGAAUUUCCACUUGUCA